AGUGAACGCUGGCGGUAGGCCUAACACAUGCAAGUCGAACGGCAGCACAGUAAGAGCUUGCUCUUACGGGUGGCGAGUGGCGGACGGGUGAGGAAUACAUCGGAAUCUACUUUUUCGUGGGGGAUAACGUAGGGAAACUUACGCUAAUACCGCAUACGACCUACGGGUGAAAGCAGGGGAUCUUCGGACCUUGCGCGAUUGAAUGAGCCGAUGUCGGAUUAGCUAGUUGGCGGGGUAAAGGCCCACCAAGGCGACGAUCCGUAGCUGGUCUGAGAGGAUGAUCAGCCACACUGGAACUGAGCCACGGUCCAGACUCCUACGGGGGGCAGCAGUGGGGAAUAUUAGACAAUGGGCGAAAGCCUGAUCCAGCCAUACCGCGUGAGUGAAGAAGGCCUUCGGGUUGUAAAGCCCUUUUGUUGGGAGAGAAAAGCAGCAGGUUAAUACCCAGCUGUUCUGACGGUACCCGAAGAAUAAGCACCGGCUAACUUCGUG
rnacentral:rRNA from 1 species